AGUGAACGCUGGCGGUAGGCCUAACACAUGCAAGUCGAACGGCAGCACAGUAAGAGCUUGCUCUUACGGGUGGCGAGUGGCGGACGGGUGAGGAAUACAUCGGAAUCUACUUUUUCGUGGGGGAUAACGUAGGGAAACUUACGCUAAUACCGCAUACGACCUACGGGUGAAAGCAGGGGAUCUUCGGACCUUGCGCGAUUGAAUGAGCCGAUGUCGGAUUAGCUAGUUGGCGGGGUAAAGGCCCACCAAGGCGACGAUCCGUAGCUGGUCUGAGAGGAUGAUCAGCCACACUGGAACUUAGCCACGGUCCAGACUCCUACGGGAGGCCGCAGUGGGGAAUAUUGGACAAUGGGCGCAAGCCUGAUCCAGCCAUCCCGCGUGGGUGAAGAAGGCCUUCGGGUUGUAAAGCCCUUUUGUUGGGAAAGAAAAGCAGCAGGUUAAUACCCCGCUGUUCUGACGGUACCCAAAGAAUAAGCACCGGCUAACUUCGUG
rnacentral:rRNA from 1 species